GUGGGGAAUAUUGGACAAUGGGCGAAAGCCUGAUCCAGCGACGCCGCGUGUGUGAAGAAGGCCUGCGGGUUGUAAAGCACUUUUAGUGGGGAUGAAAAGCCUAGAGCUAAUACCUCUGGGUCUUGACCUAACCCACAGAAAAAGCACCGGCUAACUCUGUGCCAGCAGCCGCGGUAAUACAGAGGGUGCGAGCGUUAAUCGGAAUUACUGGGCGUAAAGCGUGCGUAGACGGUUAUUUAAGUCGGGUGUGAAAGCCCCGGGCUCAACCUGGGAAUUGCAUUCGAGACUGGAUAGCUAGGGUACGGUAGAGGGAAGUGGAAUUUCCGGUGUAGCGGUGAAAUGCGUAGAUAUCGGAAGGAACAUCAGUGGCGAAAGCGACUUCCUGGACCAGUACCGACGUUCAGGCACGAAAGCGUGGGGAGCAAACAGGAUUAGAAACCCCAGUAGUCC
rnacentral:rRNA from 1 species